rnacentral:lncRNA from 1 species
UCAUGUGACCCACCCACCUCAGCCUCCCAAAGUGUUGGGAUUACAGGCAUGAGUCACCACGCCUGGCCUCCAAUGGACUAGUUUUGAAGGAAUCUCAGGAUUUGCAACCUGCUGGAAGGAAUUACUGGUGUCAUUAGAGGCCUCCCUGAAACCCCACGCAAUGACAGCAUGGCACACGCUGACCCCGGCUGAGCUCACAAUGGCAGUUGUUUUGGCUUGGCUUCUGUUUAGAUGGGAAGCAGCUCCCCAUGUCCCUUGGCUGAAGGUUUCUCCUAGAAGUUGACCAGGACCCCUGCAGGGGAUGAACAAAAGCUGACACCUCAUCACCCCAAUUCACACACAGUUAAGCCCCACUGAUCCUGGGAUACAAGUAGAUAAAGGGGGGAAAGGACUACUUUGUUUAACUUCCCAGUAUCCUCUGAUUGACUUAAUGAAAAAAUCCUGAUGUUAAGCUCCCAGAAAAGGGUUUUCAGUGCUGAACUUGAGCUGGGCAUACCACCUACAUCCUGUGUUCUGUGUUCACAAACACAGAACACAUUCGUGUCUCAUCUGUGCCUCAUUUGUCUUUCCCUGCCCUUACUUCCACGUGAGAGCAGCCACUUGUGAUCCUGUCCAUUUAAAACAAUAUGAUCACAGGCCUGGGGCUCCAGAUGCCGGACACAGAAAAGAAAAAGACGUGAUAAAUAACAUUUAAAGCACUGCAAAGUUUGAUUUUCAUGUCUAAUAUCUGCCCCUGGAGAUUCUGCUAAAUUUCUUUUUUCCCUCUUCAUAAAUUCUUAUGAUAACAACUUUAUUUGGGAAUUAAUCCAGAUUCCCAUUAUUCACUGAAUUACACUUUCCCAGCAUGUAAGUUCCUCCCUCGUUGUAAGUUACAAAGCCUUGGAAGCUACAUUAACUCUUUCUGGCUGCUGGGAUGACAGGUAUUGCUAGUCCUCAUGUUUCAGAAUUGUAUCUGAAAAGCAUUAAUGUAGUUUUAAAGGGUUUCCAAAUUAAAACCAGGAUGAAAAUUGACCACUGGGAGAAUCCUAUUUAUACUAUUAUAUUAUGGGGUGCUUUAAAUACACUUCCCUCCAGCCUACUGCCAUUGGCUCUAAUAUAUAGAACGGGCAUGUAUACAGAACGGGCAUCCCUCUUGCAGUAGCAUUGUGGAAGAAUUAAGCACCCACACUCUGAGGUCAAACUGUCCUGGUUGAAAUCUUGACUCCAUCUCUCACUAGCUGUGUGACCUCAGGUAAGUUACCUAACCCCUCUGAGCCUUGGUUUCCUCAUUUGUAAAGUGGAGAAAACAGCACUCACUUGAUGGGGCUGCCAUAAGGAUGAAGUAAUAUGGUGCAAGAGGAGCUGAGACUGCUGCUUGGCAAACAGUGGACAUUUGCUGAGAGCUUGCUGUGCACCAGGCACUGUUCUAACUACUUUACAUGUAUUAAUUCAUUGAACUCGCUCAACAACUUGGAGGUUGGACAUCAUUAUCCCUACUGCAGGCAGUGACCACUCUACAAAUGUUGGUUGCCAUCCGCUGAUCUUGACGCCUACGACGGAUUCGCCUGGUAACUCCAUCCACACUUAAGUUGGGAAAGCACUCCGCCCUGCCUCUAAGUCCGGGGACUCUGGGCAGGGUCCAUUACAUGACCUGGGUCUAAGCCAAUCAGAGCAUCUCACUACCGUCUCCACAGUGAUUGGUCCACGUGGGCACAUGACACUGCCGGGGCUGGGACUCCCCAAAAAGAGAGUCUCCCUUCUUCCUGCUGGACUAGCCUGAGACGAUGCGAGGCUAUCGCUGCCGCAGUACCGGGCGGAGGGCCUGUCUGAGAGGGAGCCAACCUCGAGGAAACUGGGUCAACAAUGGACAACGAGACACCAGCUGUGUGACUUCACGUGAGCCCACGCAGGAAGCCUGCCUGCAGCCGGGACCCUAUCUUGGCCCAUAGCAUCGGGGCUUCUCAGGGAAGCACUGGGGUGUAAGCUUCAGCCCCAAAAUGCAUCCCCACCCUUGUCCCCCUCCAGGCAGAGCAGAGACCACUGGGGCCUGCUUGCUGCUCGGUGGAGCCGAUGUCUUCAAGGCCGGGCUAAUGUCUCACCGGCCUCUCGGUUCCUUCCAGCUCCACUGACAGAAAGAAAGCAGAUUAGAUUACCGGGCGAGGCUGGAGGGCUGGGUGUGACAGGGCCCUCCAGAGAGCCUCGGGACAGAACCUCAGCAGAUGGUGGCAGCUGAAGACACAGGAAUCUCAUCAAAUAACCAGGAAAGAUUAACUACUGGAGAAGAGAAAAGACUGGGAAUCAUCACCAUGCCAGACAGACUUUUCACCUAUUCGUCUGAGGACAGCUCCAAGAGAUGACCUGGGAGACUUUACCUGCAUAAGAAGACAACCUUUGUUCACAGCGUAGUUCUGCCCCUCACCCUCCUGCCACCUGCCCCAGAACUCAGAGGAACUUUGUCCCAGGCUAUUAUCUAUUCUUUGGGCUCACUCAUUUUCCUUAGAAAUCAUUUACUACCCCUCUAAAAUUUCCUACAGUCCCCCACUUCCCUGUCUCCUAUGAAGAGGAUAUAUAAGCCUCAACCAUCUGGCCCUUCUUUGAGUCUCCUAUUUGUAGGACUCCCAUGGCCAUAUGCACCUUAAUAAAUGUGUAAGCCAU